AGACGUGAAUCAUUGAAUCUUUGAACGCACAUUGCGCCCCGGGGUAUUCCCCAGGGCAUGCGUGGGUGAGCGAUAUUUACUCUCAAACCUCCGGUUUGGUCCUGCUUCGGCCUAAUAUCAACGGCGCUAGAAUAAGUUUUAGCCCCAGCCUUUUUCCUCACCCUCGUAAGACUACCCGCUGAACUUAAGCAUAUCAAUAAGCGGAGGAAAAGAAACCAACAGGGAUUGCCUCAGUAACGGCGAGUGAAGCGGCAAAAGCUCAAAUUUGAAAUCCCCCGGGAAUUGUAAUUUGAAGAGAUUUGGGUCCGGCCGGCGGGGGUUAAGUCCACUGGAAAGUGGCGCCACAGAGGGUGACAGCCCCGUGAACCCCUUCAACGCCCUCAUCCCAGAUCUCCAAGAGUCGAGUUGUUUGGGAAUGCAGCUCUAAGUGGGUGGUAAAUUCCAUCUAAAGCUAAAUACCGGCGAGAGACCGAUAGCGAACAAGUACAGUGAUGGAAAGAUGAAAAGCACUUUGAAAAGAGAGUGAAAAAGUACGUGAAAUUGUUGAAAGGGAAGGGCUUGCAAGCAGACACUUAACUGGGCCAGCAUCGGGGCGGCGGGGAGCAAAACCACCGGGGAAUGUACCUUUCGAGGAUUAUAACCCCGGUCCUUACUCCCAUACCACCCCGAGGCCUGCAAUCUAAGGAUGCUGGCGUAAUGGUUGCAAGUCGCCCGUCUUGAAACACGGACCAAGGAGUCUAACAAUCAUGCAAGUGUUUGGGCCCAAAACCCAUACGCGCAAUGAAAGUAACCGGAGCGAACCUUACCGGU
rnacentral:rRNA from 1 species